GACGAACGCUGGCGGCAUGCCUAAUACAUGCAAGUCGAGCGAACAGAUGAAGUGCUUGCACUUCUGACGUUAGCGGCGAACGGGUGAGUAACACGUAAGGAAUCUACCUAUAAGCGGGGGAUAACAUUCGGAAACGGGUGCUAAUACCGCACAAUAUCUUCUUCCGCAUGGAAGGAGAUUGAAAGACGGCUCUGCUGUCACUUAUAGAUGACCUUGCGGUGCAUUAGUUAGAUGGUGGGGUAAUGGCCUACCAAGACGAUGAUGCAUAGCCGACCUGAGAGGGUGAUCGGCCACAUUGGGACUGAGACACGGCCCAAACUCCUACGGGAGGCAGCAGUAGGGAAUCUUCCGCAAUGGGCGAAAGCCUGACGGAGCAAUGCCGCGUGAGUGAAGAAGGCCUUCGGGUCGUAAAACUCUGUUAUAAGAGAAGAACAAAUUGUAGAGUAACUGCUACAGUCUUGACGGUAUCUUAUCAGAAAGCCACGGCUAACUACGUGCCAGCAGCCGCCGCGG
rnacentral:rRNA from 1 species